rnacentral:pre_miRNA from 1 species
CGCCGGUCUUUCGCGAGGCAGUGAGUUGAUAGCGCCCUGUAGAGUGGGUUUAGAACUAAACGAGGCCUAUCCUUACUCGCCACAACGAAGCGCUGACUGUUC